GCUUCGGUGGUGUAACGGUUAGCAUUUGCUCCCGGAAAGAGUGAGAUCUGAGUUCAAAUCCCGGCUGAAAGCG